GGAGGAGUGUCCGAGAGGUCGAAGGUGCCUGACUCGAAAUCAGGUGUAGGGCAACCUACCGGGGGUUCGAAUCCCUCCUCCUCCGCCA
rnacentral:tRNA from 1 species